GCUGACCUCUCCCAGGGCCCACGCAUCACACCAGGCAAGACUUUUUUCAUCUGCACACAGCACGGACUGGCACUGACUCCCAGCUGCCCUCCAGGCAGGAUGUGGACUCCCCCUGCUUUGUUCAUCAGUGUCAAAUGUCCCAGCUCUGGUUCCAACAAUAACACUGGCUCCUCGAACCUCCAACCCAAGGAACGGGUUCUGCCAAGACAAUGUGCCUUAGGAGCUGAGACUACCAGUGGACCAGAAUUCCAGCAGUUCUCCAGGGGCUGCCCUGUCACGAGGGCACUCAAGCUGCCUGCGGAGAGGCCCAUACGGGGAGCAUCUAAGGUCCCACCAACAGCUGGCACCAACUUGCCAACCAUCUGGGAAGAAGACCCUCCAGUCCCAGUCAAGCUUGCAAAUGGCUGUGGCUCUGGCUGAUGUCUUAACUGCAACCUCUUGAAAGACUCCAAGCCAGAACGUUCCUCAAUUUCUGACCCCCCAAGACUGUGAGAUAUAUUAAAUGUAUAUUGCUGUUUUAAAUUUCUAAGUUUUGGAGUGAUUUGUUACAUAGCAAUAGAUAACUAACAUAUAUCCUAUUGCCUUCCAAAACGGUUUUGAAACUGCAUAUAGGUAAAAUCAUAGCUUUAACUAAAUGAAAAGCUAUUAGAACAGGAUUUAAAAGAAGACAGAGAAAUAACAAAUAGGGUAGGUAUAGGGAGGAGUCUGGCUGUACUAGAAAACCUGGCUAAAGACAAAACAUAGCUCUAGGCUCCUUGCAAGCCAGGGCAAAAAUGGAAGCUUGAUGGGCCACAGUAAAACUUUUUGUGGUGGUGGUGGUGACUCUGAAUGAGGAUGUGCAUUUGACAUGCGGGCCUUUAGGUAAAUAGCAUCACACGGUCUGGUGGGUGGUAACGUGCAGACACUCCACCUACUGUAGAUCAGACUGCGUGUUUGAAAUGGUAAAUACAGUAGUGCAUAGAGUUCACGUAUAACUGUGCACCUUCUGCCAGUUUUCAGGAACUCCAGGCAUCAUAAAAAUAGAAAAAAUAUAUUAAUAUAUACAUACAUAUUCAAAAAAUAUAACUUUUAACAUAGGUACUAGUUUUUGUUUUUUGUUUUUUUGAGACAGAGUCUUGCUCUGUUGCCCAGGCUGGAGUGCAGCGGCACGAUCUCAGCUCACUGCAACAUUUGCCUCCCAGGUUCAAGCGAUUCUCCUGCCUCAGCUGCCUGAGUAGCUGGGAUUACAGCUGCCCACUACCAUGCCCAACUAAUUUUUGUAUUUUUAGUAGAGAUGGGAUUUUACCAUGUCGGCCAGGCUGGUCUCAAACUCCUGACCUCAGGUGAUCCGCCCGCCUCAGCCUCUCAAAGUGCUGGGGUUACAGGCGUGAGCCACUGCUCCCAGCUCAUAGGUACUAGAUUUUUUAAAAGGCAUAAAAGGAUUGCUAGUGGAAAGAAAGUCUCCAUUCCACCAAUCCCUUACAGGUCAGUUUCCUUUCCCAUGGCCAACCCUGUGUGAUUUCUGACUUAGACUUCCAGGGAUAUUUUAUACACAUACAAGCAAGUCAUGUAAAUUGUUACCCCCUUCAUUAUACUAUUAUACUAAUAGCAGCAUACCACAGGCAUUGUUCUGCACUGAGAGCUUUUUAUUACUCCAUAUUGACAUGACUCCAAGUAACAUCUUCCCCUAAUUAUCACAAUUUUUGAUUUUCUGAGUUUCUACUGUUUCAUUGUUCAACAUUGAGAAAUAUAAAAAAGUUGGUGGUGUGGCUCAUGCCUGUAAUCCCAGCACUUUGUGAGGCUGAGGCAGGAGGAUCAUUUGAGGCAAGGAGUUUGAGACAAGCCUGGGAAACAUAGCCAGAUCCCGUCUCUACCAAAAACAUUAAAAAAUUAGCUGGGCAAGGUGGCAUGUGUCUGUAGUCCUAGCUACUCAGGAGGCUGAGGCGGGAGGACUGCUUGAGCCCAGGAGUUUGAAGCUGCUGUGAGCUAUGACUGUGCCGCUGCACCCCAGCCUGGGUGACAGGGAGUUCCUGUCUCUUAAAAAAUUUAUAUAUAUAUAUACAUGCACACACUCAUACACAUACAUGAGUUAAUAUAUACAUAUACACACACGUAAGAGUUAAGAGAAUAGGCCAGGCGCGGUGGCUCAUGCCUGUAAUCCCAGCACUUUGGGAGGCCGAGGUGGGCAGAUCACGAGGUCAGGAGAUCGAGACCAUCCUGGUUAACAUGGUGAAACCCCGUCUCUACUAAAAAUACAAAAAAACUAGCCGGGCAUGGUGGCGGGCGCCUGUAGUCCCAGCUACACGGGAGGCUGAGGCAGGAGAAUGGCGUGAACCCGGGAGGUGGAGCUUGCAGUGAGCCGAGAUCGUGCCACUGCACUCCAGCCUGGGCGACAGAGCGAGACUCCAUCUCAAAAAAAUAUAUAAAUAUUAAAAAAAAUUUUUAAAAUAGACUUAGGACAAUAAAGGCACUUGUAAUUCCACCAAGAAAUGACUGUUAAAUCUAUGCUGUUCAAGUGUGUUCUUUCCUGUCUUCCCCUUAUAAAUACGAAUUUGUGUCCUGCGUUUAAUUUUCAAAGUAAAAUUGGCACCAAAGUGUAGAAAUAAUUUUAUAAUCUGGCUUUUUUCCCCCAUUUACUAUACAUACGUUCCCCCCUCCCCAACCAUUAUAUUGUGAGUAUAAGUAGGGUUUUCUUUCUUUUUUUUUUUUUUUUUUUUGAGACGGAGUUUCACUCUUGUUGCCCAGGCUGGAGUGCAGUGGCGCGAUCUCAGCUUACCACAACCUCCGCCUCCCGGGUUCAAGUGAUUCUCCUGUCUCAGCCUCCUGAGCAGCUGGGAUUACAGGCAUGUGCCACCACGCCCGGCUAAUUUUGUAUUUUUAGUAGAGAUGGGGUUUCUCCACGUUGGUCAGCCUGGUCUCAAACUCCCGACCUCAGGUGAUCCACCUGCCUUGACCUCCCAAAGUGCUGAGAUUACAGGCGUGAGCCACCAUGCCCGGCCAUAUGCAGGGUUUUCUUAAUGUUCUGCCAGCGCGCAGGACCAACAUGAACCUGCCUUUUCUGUGUCUGCUCCAGACUGCUGAGAACAGCUUGGUCUAACCUCUGUGACCAGAGCAUCCCCAAGAUGGAAAACUUGGUAUCUGUAAGACACCAAGAAAACCGAAAUUGUGAAGCAUUAAGCUUGUUCAUACAAGACUUUCCUAGAUUUCCAAGAUGAAAUAGCCAGGGCCACACAGCCUGCAGAUGACCAGC
ensembl:lncRNA